AUGAUGCUGAUGAAGGGCAGCUGUGUUGUAACCUCCAAUCAGGGUGUUAUGAAGAAAAGCUGUGAGGCUGCCCUGGGGACAUUCUACCUUUGUUCAGAUGUGGUAUUUAAGCUCAGAUCCUGGUCUGAGCUACACUGCAUGUGUGUGACUGUGUGCCUUGAUGCUCCUGACCUUGCCUUGGCUUCCCUGCUUGACCUCAGACCUACCUCAUUGUGGAAAACUUGUCUGCUCCUUCCAGUGACUGAUCCCCAAAACGAUUAGAAUUCAAAAUCCUUCAUCACCUUCAGCUGUUACAAAGGUGAGUAUCAGGUAUCAUCCUUUUCUCUGUUUGAACUAGCCUCUUGGAGACAACGAUAAGUGUUAGCUGGGGAUUAUCAAUAAUGCUUUUAUAUGGCUAGAAACAGCUUUUAUUUAUAUUGCAAUGCUGUAAACAAAAGCUGCCUUUCCAUAGUCAGUGUGAUCCAUUUUGAACACAACCACCCUGUUUACCAUCUUGCUGUAGAUAAAUCUUGUAAUGGAAACAGAGAUUUUUGUGUGAUUUAUUUUUUUUUCCUCCACCAUAUUGUAUUAGUCAUAAAUUGCUUUGUGUUUUGUUUCUUUUCUCUGUUUGUUUUGUAAACUGCUGAGAAAUAUACCACUCCUUUUGUUGCUGUUGUUGUUAAUUCCAUGUUCAGCAUGCCAAGAGAAUGAGGUGUUGCAGAGACAUCUCUUCCCAUCUGAAUAGAUAUGUUUCACAGCCAGAACAGCGCAGGGUGUGGGGUGCUGCUCUCAGCACUUUGACUCAAGUGGCCCAGGAGCAGGCUUCACCACCUGCAUUGAUUUGGCAGCAUGUGGCCCUUACAAUAUCUUGGGGAGAAAGACCUAUAAGGGUAGGAUUAAACUGGUGCUUCUCCACUGAUGGAUUGUUUUGACUGUCAUGUGCUUCUUAAUCUAAUUUUUAGGGUGAACUGUAAAGUUCUUGCCCUAAUUUGUUUUCCUGUAUGAAGAGGAUCUUUAGUUGAAGAAAGAUUCUGUUUGAAAACAGGCCCAAGUGCUGUCCUUUGAGAUAGGGCAGGCUUCAAUGUAGUGCCACCUACACACACAGUGAUUAGAUCUCCCAAUAUCAGACAUAGAUCUCCAACAUUCCUCUCUUUAUCAUGUUCCUCAUCUUAUCCAAGAUCAGGGCAAAGCAUCCCACUCCAUACACCUCAGCAUGGCCUCUGGCAGGGGGCACCUGGAACUUCACCUAUAGAGCUUGUUUCCUACAAUGUUUUAGGCAUAA
rnacentral:lncRNA from 1 species